CCCGCUGAACUUAAGCAUAUCAAUAAGCGGAGGAAAAGAAACCAACAGGGAUUGCCUUAGUAACGGCGAGUGAAGCGGCAAAAGCUCAAAUUUGAAAUCGGCCACCAGGUCGAGUUGUAAUUUGUAGAUUGUAUCUUGAGAGCGGAUUAAAGUCUGUUGGAACACAGCGCCUUAGAGGGUGACAGCCCCGUAAAAUCUAUUCUCAUUGUAAGAUACUUUCGAAGAGUCGAGUUGUUUGGGAAUGCAGCUCUAAGUGGGAGGUAAAUUCCUUCUAAAGCUAAAUAUUGACGAGAGACCGAUAGCGAACAAGUACUGUGAAGGAAAGAUGAAAAGCACUUUGAAAAGAGAGUGAAAAAGUACGUGAAAUUGUUAAAAGGGAAGGGUAUU
rnacentral:rRNA from 1 species